rnacentral:rRNA from 4 species
CGGAGUGGACGCAUCACUGGUGUUCGGGUUGUCAUGCCAAUGGCACUGCCCGGUAGCUAAAUGCGGAAGAGAUAAGUGCUGAAAGCAUCUAAGCACGAAACUUGCCCCGAGAUGAGUUCUCCCUGAGACUUAGAGUCUCCUGAAGGAACGUUGAAGACGACGACGUUGAUAGGCCGGGUGUGUAAGCGCAGCGAUGCGUUGAGCUAACCGGUACUAAUGAACCGUGAGGCUUAACCUUACAACGCCGAAG